CUCCUACUACAGCUAUGAGACUCAGUCCUUAGACUCAUUUAACAGCGGCCUCUCUACCACCACCACCACCACCACCCAGGUUGACCCUCACAGUAAACAAGAUAAGAACUUUACUAAACUACACAAGUGGGGCUUCCUAGGUGACACUAUCAAGCUUAGAAAGUUUAUAAAGAAGGUGCCCGUCGAUGCUCAAGACAGCGAGGGAAAGACAGCUUUACACCUUUGCAGCUGCACAGGGUCACGGGGAAGCUGUGCUGUUCCUCUUAGGCAGCAAAUGUAACGUAGAGAUGAAAGAUAAUGCUGGAAUGACACCUUUCCUGAGAGCCAUGAAGAUCCCAGGUUCAUAUAGUUCAGAUGCUGCUACAGAGACGGGUUGACAGUAAAGUGGCGGACCAUCACAAGAACAACUCCUGCCACCUGGCCGCCAGAACCGGGGCGACUGAACUCUUGGUGCUGCUACUCGACUGGCGGGGACU